rnacentral:rRNA from 1 species
GGUUAAGCGACUAAGCGUACACGGUGGAUGCCCUGGCAGUCAGAGGCGAUGAAGGACGUGCUAAUCUGCGAUAAGCGCCGGUAAGGUGAUAUGAACCGUUAUAACCGGCGAUUUCCGAAUGGGGAAACCCAGUGUGAUUCGUCACACUAUCAUUAACUGAAUCCAUAGGUUAAUGAGGCGAACCGGGGGAACUGAAACAUCUAAGUACCCCGAGGAAAAGAAAUCAACCGAGAUUCCCCCAGUAGCGGCGAGCGAACGGGGAGGAGCCCAGAGCCUGAAUCAGCAUGUGUGUUAGUGGAAGCGUCUGGAAAGGCGCGCGAUACAGGGUGACAGCCCCGUACACAAAAGCGCAUGUGCUGUGAGCUCGAUGAGUAGGGCGGGACACGUGGUAUCCUGUCUGAAUAUGGGGGGACCAUCCUCCAAGGCUAAAUACUCCUGACUGACCGAUAGUGAACCAGUACCGUGAGGGAAAGGCGAAAAGAACCCCGGCGAGGGGAGUGAAAAAGAACCUGAAACCGUGUACGUACAAGCAGUGGGAGCACCCUUCGGGGUGUGACUGCGUACCUUUUGUAUAAUGGGUCAGCGACUUAUAUUCUGUAGCAAGGUUAACCGUAUAGGGGAGCCGGAGGGAAACCGAGUCUUAAUUGGGCGUUAAGUUGCAGGGUAUAGACCCGAAACCCGGUGAUCUAGCCAUGGGCAGGUUGAAGGUUGGGUAACACUAACUGGAGGACCGAACCGACUAAUGUUGAAAAAUUAGCGGAUGACCUGUGGCU